rnacentral:tRNA from 1 species
UAAAUUGAAGCUCAAAAGAGCUUUUGGCCGUUAACCAAAAGGAUGAAGUUUUAUUUCUUCCAAUUUA